GAUGAACGCUAGCGGCAGGCUUAACACAUGCAAGUCGAGGGGUAACAGGGAAGAGCUUGCUUUUCCGCUGACGACCGGCGCACGGGUGAGUAACGCGUAUAGAACCUACCUUUUACAGGGGAAUAGCCCAGAGAAAUUUGGAUUAAUGCCCUAUAGUAUUAUUGAAUGGCAUCAUUUAGUAAUUAAACAUUUAUGGGUAAAAGAUGGCUAUGCGUUCUAUUAGCUAGAUGGUAAGGUAACGGCUUACCAUGGCAACGAUAGAUAGGGGUCCUGAGAGGGAGAUCCCCCACACUGGUACUGAGACACGGACCAGACUCCUACGGGAGGCAGCAGUGAGGAAUAUUGGACAAUGGAGGCAACUCUGAUCCAGCCAUGCCGCGUGCAGGAAGACGGCCCUAUGGGUUGUAAACUGCUUUUAUACGGGAAGAAACCCAACUACGUGUAGUUGGCUGACGGUACCGUAAGAAUAAGCACCGGCUAACUCCGUGCCAGCAGCCGCGGUAAUACGGGAGGGUGCAAGCGUUAUCCGGAAUCAUUGGGUUUAAAGGGUCCGUAGGGCGGGCUAAUAAGUCAGGGGUGAAAUCCAACAGCUUAACUGUUGAACUGCCUUUGAUACUGUUAGUCUUGAAUUAUAUGGAAGUAGAUAGAAUGUGUAGUGUAGCGGUGAAAUGCUUAGAGAUUACACAGAAUACCGAUUGCGAAGGCAGUCUACUACGUA
rnacentral:rRNA from 1 species